UUAGUUAUAUACUGCCGAAGACAGUAGGUGCUUAUGCAUAAAUCCUACCGAGGAAGUAAAUUUAGAAAUAAAUUUAUGCCCCUGUCUUUGGAUGGGGGCAUUUUACAU
rnacentral:sRNA from 1 species